rnacentral:lncRNA from 1 species
AUUAAUGAGGCCCAACUGAAGGAAAUGGUGUUUCCCAUCUGACCAGCUUUGUGGAAAAACUCCCUACCUACUUUUUAAGAGAGAGAGAGAAACCUGAUAAAGCCUUAUUUAAAUAAAAUUUUAUUUCGAACUAUCUUGAUCAUGCAUAAAAGUUAUAAAAAAAACUUUCCUUGAGAAUUGAUCACCCUACAUCCUGUCACCUCAGAUACAUAUUCAUAUCAGUUUUCUGUAAACCAGGAUAUUUUUCUACAUAACCAACCAUCAAAAACACUGACACAUUGCUACUAUUUAACUCUCUAGCUCUAGUCAGUCUUUCUCGGUUUUUCUCUUGUCAUUUAUGGUAAAGGACUCUGGUCUAAGUUAGCUAUUCCAGUUGUUAACUCUUCUUAAGAGUUUCCACAAGUUUUUGUUGUUGGGUUUUGGGUUUUGUUUGGGGAUAGUAAGUACCCCUGACUGGCCUGCAACCUACUGUAUAGAGUAGGCUGGCCUCAGACUCCCAGUGUUCUGUGUGCCUCUGCUUCCUGGGUGCUGAGAUUAAAGGUGUAUGCCCCCAUAGCCAGCAUUUUUUAACUUCUUGGGUCAAUGAUUGGAUUGCCUUAGUUUUAUCUCUUUAAAGAUAUAGUCGUAAAGCUGUUCUCUGCAUCCUCUCAGGUGGUAAUGCCUUGUUACUUAAGACUCACUGCAGACACUUAAUUCAAGUGACUUCUUACACUACAGAGUUACUCCUUUUCCUUUUUAACUCACACCUGUGUGGGGGAAGAUAAUCUCACCUCUCGUACACGUGUUGCGCCCUCACCAGAUUCAGGAUAGUUUUCAUUAUCAUGGUUGUAUGUUCAGAUGUGUCUUUGGUAAAUUUCUAAACUGAUGUUUUAUGAGAGUUUAUGUUGUGUCAGAAUUAUUUCAUCUGAUUUUGUUUAUACAAUAACAGCAAUACUGUUAUUGUAUAAACAGGUCUGGUUAUUUCCUUUUCUUCCUAAGUUUUUAUUCUAUCUCCUUCUGCAAAGUCUUUGAGGUUCCUAUUAUGAAUUUGAGAAUGGGGUUGGAGACUCUUCUUGAGGUCCUGAGUUCAAUUCCCAGCAACUACAUGGUGGCUCACAACCAUCUGUAAUGGGAUCCGAUACCCUCUUCUGGUGUGUCCGAAGAUGGCUACUGUGUGUGUGUGUGUGUGUGUGUGUGUGUGUGUGUAUAAUCUUUUAAAAAAUAAAGAAUUUAAGAACGAAGGAGCUGGAGAAAUAAAUGGCUUAGUAAUUAAGAGUACACACUGCUCUUUCAGAGGACCACGUUUGAUUCCCAGCACCCACAUAGGUAGCUCAAAACUGCCGAUGCUCCUAGCUACAGGGGAUCCUGCACUUCUGGCUUCUAUAGGCACCUGUGCUCAUAUGCAUGUAGCCCCUCCCACCCCCACACACUUUUUUUAAAAAUUAAACAUAUUUUUAUAAAACAAAUGGAAUAUAUUCAAAAGGUAUUUUUAGAAGAAAUGUUGUAAUCUAUUUUCCACCCAGUAACUGUCUUCUGUUCAACUUGUACCACAGCAGACACAGCUUGUAUUUUAUGUCCAGGCCACCAGAAAUAAACGCACUUAGACCCAGCAUUCAGUUGUCAAGAAGAGCUGAUAUGGCAGAUAGUGUUUUCAUUUGGCAUAUUACAAGUACAGCAGCAGCAGGCUCAACUGCUCAGAUUCACUAUUUAAGACUUUCUGACAUUUACUUCUAAUUCUCCAGUCACGCUCAUCAUCUACCUCUACUGAUCCGGUUUGGUUUUUCUCUCCUCUGUUGGUCUCUUUCUGGGAACCAGUAUGUUCUCCUUUAUGUCCUCCAUUGAACAGAAUUAUCAUUCUGCUUAGUACCUACAAACCUCUGCCAAGCCCUCCCAAAAAAGGGAGUCAUGCUGACUUUGUAACUGUAAUCCCGAUUUUAUUCAGUUGUAUUCUUCCAACUCUGUGUGGUGUGUGUGUGUGUGUGUGUGUGUGUGUGUGAGAGAGAGAGAGAGAGAGAGAGAGAGAGAGAGAGAGAGAGAGAGAGAGAGACACGCUGGGUCAGAGUACAACUUUUAGGAGGUAGUUCCUUUUUUCUACCACAUGAUCCCCAGGAUCAAGAUCAGGUUGUGAGGCUUAGUUAGCAAGUGCCUUUACCUGCUCAAUCAUCUCACCAGCCUAUUAUCAAUUCCAUUUGUAUAUUCAAUACUCUGUAGACUGCUUGACACUCUGUUCUUAUGUGGUGUUCUCAACUCAGUAGAAUCUUUAGACAUUCACAUUUUAUAGAAAUAUAGAUUGCGAGUUUGCUAAUACUAACAAGAGGAGCAGAGGCUGGGAAGCUCCUAGAUUAGCACUUGGAAGUGCUGUUGGCAUCUUGGUUGGGAAUGUUUCUUAACCAAGGUUUUCAUGACUGGCUCACCUGUGCCCUUCACAAGAACCCUUGAGAUCUUACUCUUCCAAUUUAAGGAUGAGAAAUUUACCUAAGGUUUGGAGGGAUGACUCAAGGGUUGAGUUCAGUUCCCAGCAACCACAUGGUGGCUCCCAACCUUCUGCAAUGGGAUCUGUUGCCCUCUUCUGGUGUGUCUGAAGACAGCAACACUCUACUCAUAUACAUCAAUGAAAUCUUUAAAAGAAAGAAAUGUACCUAUGUGGGAGUGCCCAGAAGUAGUACCCAGAUGUGGGAAAGUGGCACGUUGGACUCAAUUUCAGUUUGCUUUGCUGUCCUGCCAAUGAUCUUACUCUAUUUUGUCAGGGUGCUCUUUCAGCCAGCCCCAACCCCUUACCACUGAGUGGCGGCACAUUCAGGAUUUUCUGUGACUAAUGUCCUUAUGGCUUUUGCCUUUAUAAAUGCUGAAUCCAUGAAUUUUGGGACAAGAGUUCUUUGUGACAAGAGCCUUCUCUCUAUCUUAAAUAAAGAAUUCUUAUUUGGCCU